rnacentral:sRNA from 1 species
CACCUAACCCUGUCGGCUUCGGUCGGCAGGUAUGGUGAGAAGUCCAGUAAGACAUGAAGAUCCCAUCGUGGGGUUGUCUUACUGGCCAUAUCGGGAAACCGGUAUGUCUGGCGCAAGCCGGA